rnacentral:rRNA from 1 species
AACGAACGCUGGCGGCAUGCCCAACACAUGCAAGUCGAACGAGAUCUUCGGGUCUAGUGGCGCACGGGUGCGUAACGCGUGGGAAUCUGCCCUUUGGUUCGGAAUAACAGUUGGAAACGACUGCUAAUACCGGAUGAUGACGAAAGUCCAAAGAUUUAUCGCCAGAGGAUGAGCCCGCGUAGGAUUAGCUAGUUGGUGUGGUAAAGGCGCACCAAGGCGACGAUCCUUAGCUGGUCUGAGAGGAUGAUCAGCCACACUGGGACUGAGACACGGCCCAGACUCCUACGGGAGGCAGCAGUGGGGAAUAUUGGACAAUGGGCGAAAGCCUGAUCCAGCAAUGCCGCGUGAGUGAUGAAGGCCUUAGAGUUGUAAAGCUCUUUUACCCGGGAUGAUAAUGACAGUACCGGGAGAAUAAGCUCCGGCUAACUCCGUGCCAGCAGCCGCCGUAA